GACGAACGCUGGCGGCGUGCCUAAUACAUGCAAGUCGAGCGAAUGAAUGGGAGCUUGCUCCUGUUCGUUAGCGGCGGACGGGUGAGUAACACGUGGGCAACCUGCCUGUAAGACUGGGAUAACUUCGGGAAACCGGAGCUAAUACCGGAUAGUUUCUUUCUUCACAUGAAGAAGGAUGGAAAGACGGUUUUGCUGUCACUUACAGAUGGGCCCGCGGCGCAUUAGCUAGUUGGUGAGGUAAUGGCUCACCAAGGCGACGAUGCGUAGCCGACCUGAGAGGGUGAUCGGCCACACUGGGACUGAGACACGGCCCAGACUCCUACGGGAGGCAGCAGUAGGGAAUCUUCCGCAAUGGACGAAAGUCUGACGGAGCAACGCCGCGUGAGUGAAGAAGGUUUUCGGAUCGUAAAACUCUGUUGUCAGGGAAGAACAAGUACCAGAGUAACUGCUGGUACCUUGACGGUACCUGACCAGAAAGCCACGGCUAACUACGUGCCAGCCGCCGCGGUAACAC
rnacentral:rRNA from 1 species